UACGUCGGGGGCUAGCUUUGUCCGGAAUCAUUGGGCGUAAAGAGCGUGUAGGCGGUCCGGUAAGUCCGCUGUGAAAGUCGGGGGCUCAACCCUCGGAUGCCGGUGGAUACUGUCGGGCUUGAGUACGGAAGAGGCGAGUGGAAUUCCUGGUGUAGCGGUGAAAUGCGCAGAUAUCAGGAGGAACACCAAUUGCGAAGGCAGCUCGCUGGGACGUUACUGACGCUGAGACGCGAAAGCGUGGGGAGCAAACAGG
rnacentral:rRNA from 1 species